rnacentral:lncRNA from 1 species
GCUCUGGGAACCUCGAGUGGGAACAGCAGAAGCAGAAGGGACAAAAAUGGUGCGGUUUCCCAGUCUGUGAAAUGGGGUGCUAGUGACACAUGACUGUGGAUAGAGUCGCCAGGAAAGGAUCAUGCUGUGAGAGCCUCUGCACCAAGUCAGUUUGAGAAUUGAACCCUGGGUCCCUGGAGCAGUGACAGGCCACAGAACAGCAGCACCAGCAGGAAAAGUUCCAGCUCCAAGCGUGAGAAAACCGGGUUUUCUGUGUAGGAGACAGCAAGCUAGAGGGGAUGGCGAUUUGGGAUGGCUACAUGCUGAGUUCUGUUCUAACCAAGUCUUGAUUCCAACCCUCACCCCUCUGCAAGCUGGGCAGAGACCACCCCUGAGGCCACGAGUACGGAUAACAUUUGUUUUCUCUUUUGUUGAUUUGUCUCCCCAGCUAAUAAGCUUGUGAUUGUGCCUCAGCUUCCCAGGCUCUGGGGUCACAAGGUGCUGUUUGUCUUAGGUCACUUGCAGGAUGCAGCAUGGACCAAGGCCAACUGAACCCAUAGGGUAGUGGGUCAGGGACGGGUUCUGUCCGUUACUGUCCUAGCUGAGCCUAAACGCGCUGGAGGGGGAAUGGGAGCACUUGGCAAAGUACUCAUGGGCUUAAGUCUUGAUGUGUUCCUACCCUAGUGCAGGACUUUUGCUAAUGAGCACAGAUCCUGGGGUCUGGUCAG